rnacentral:tRNA from 2 species
GCGCCCGUAGCUCAGAUGGAUAGAGCGCCGGACUUCGAAUCCGUAGGCCGGGGGUUCGAAUCCCUCCGGGCGUGCCA